GUUCCUACGGGGGGCAGCAGUGAGGAAUAUUGGUCAAUGGUCGGGAGACUGAACCAGCCAAGCCGCGUGAGGGAUGAAGGUACAGAGUAUCGUAAACCUCUUUUGUCAGGGAACAAAGGCGGGGACGUGUCCCCGGAUGAGUGUACCUGAAGAAAAAGCAUCGGCUAACUCCGUGCCAGCAGCCGCGGUAAUACGGAGGAUGCGAGCGUUAUCCGGAUUUAUUGGGUUUAAAGGGUGCGUAGGCGGACUGUUAAGUCAGCGGUAAAAGCCCGGGGUCCAACCCCGGGCGGCCGUUAAAACGGCCG
rnacentral:rRNA from 1 species